CACCAGAAAGCUUAGCUGGUAGAGCACCUAACUAGAGAUUCAGGGGGCCUGGGAUUGAAUCUCAGUCUGGUCU
rnacentral:tRNA from 1 species